UCCAGACUCCUACGGGAGGCAGCAGUGGGGAGUAUUGCACAAUGGGGGAAACCCUGAUGCAGCGACGCCGCGUGAGUGAAGAAGUAUUUCGGUAUGUAAAGCUCUAUCAGCAGGGAAGAAAAUGACGGUACCUGACUAAGAAGCCCCGGCUAACUACGUGCCAGCAGCCGCGGUAAUACGUAGGGGGCAAGCGUUAUCCGGAUUUACUGGGUGUAAAGGGAGCGUAGACGGCAUGGCAAGUCAGAUGUGAAAGCCCGGGGCUCAACCCCGGGACUGCAUUUGAAACUGUCAGGCUGGAGUGUGUGAGAGGAUAGUGGAAUUCCAGGUGUAGGAGUGAAAUCCGUAGAUAUCUGGAGGAACAUCAGUGGCGAAGGCGACUAUCUGGCACAUAACUGACGCUGAGGAGCGAAAGCGUGGGUAGCAAACAGGAUUAGAUACCCGUGUAA
rnacentral:rRNA from 1 species